GUGAGGAAUUUUGCGCAAUGGCCGCAAGGCUGACGCAGCAACGCCGCGUGGGUGAUGAAGGCCUUCGGGUCGUAAAGCCCUGUCAGGUGGGAAGAAAGGCUUGGAGAAGCAACGCUUUGAGUUUGACGGUACCACCAGAGGAAGCACCGGCUAACUCCGUGCCAGCAGCCGCGGUAAUACGGAGGGUGCGAGCGUUAUUCGGAAUUACUGGGCGUAAAGCGCGUGUAGGCGGGGAUGCAAGUCUGAUGUGAAAGCCCUGGGCUUAACCUGGGAAGUGCAUUGGAAACUGCAUUUCUUGAGUACUGGAGAGGAAGGGGGAAUUCCCGGUGUAGAGGUGAAAUUCGUAGAGAUCGGGAGGAAUACCAGUGGCGUAGGCGCCCUUCUGGACGGUAACUGACGCUGAGACGCGAAAGCGUGGGGAGCAAACAGGAUUAGAAACCCUGGUAGCC
rnacentral:rRNA from 1 species